rnacentral:tRNA from 1 species
GUGGCUGUAGCUCAGCUGGUUAGAGCGCGUGGCUGUGAACCACGAGGUCGCGGGUUCAAAUCCCGUCAGUCACCCCA